UGGGGAAUAUUGGACAAUGGGGGCAACCCUGAUCCAGCAAUGCCGCGUGUGUGAAGAAGGUCUUCGGAUUGUAAAGCACUUUCGACGGGGACGAUGAUGACGGUACCCGUAGAAGAAGCCCCGGCUAACUUCGUGCCAGCAGCCGCGGUAAUACGAAGGGGGCUAGCGUUGCUCGGAAUGACUGGGCGUAAAGGGCGUGUAGGCGGUUUACACAGUCAGAUGUGAAAUCCCCGGGCUUAACCUGGGAGCUGCAUUUGAUANGUGUAGACUAGAGUGUGAGAGAGGGUUUGUGGA
rnacentral:rRNA from 1 species